GUUGAAAUGAGGGCUGCUCCUCCUGAAGAAGAGAAGGCUGUAGACAUCAUAAGGAUGGCCGGGCAGCCUGUCCUGUGUGGCCCGGGGCAGAGCUGGGGCCAAUUAGGAACAGGGAGGACAUUAUCCCCAGGGACAGAUGUUAACUCAGUGAGAGGGAGGUCUUUCCAAUGGCAUGGGGGGUUCAAGGUGGUCCAGAGGCCUUGGGAGGAGAGAGAUGUUCUCUAUGGAAAAUGUUCCUCCUGCUGCAUAUAAGAAGCAGAACACAGAACAUUAUGGUCUCUUCUGUAAAUCCACCUAGUGCCAAGUGUGUGUAGGCUCCCCGGGGUCUGGGAGGAUGGACAUUGGCUUCCUAAGGAGACCUGUCCUCCAGGGACAGAGGGAGGAACGUGCUUGCCAGCCAGAGUCCAGGCUGUUGGAGGCCCAUGGUGAAUUCACCCUGAGCUUCUGCUCUCUCCACCGUCCUUCUGGACUCUUGGCUUCAUCAUCUCAGGUGGAAGCUUGAACCACUUAGGAAUUCUCCCUCAGAGAAAGGAAGGAAGACCUUUACUCAUUUAAUUUCUGGCAUCUACUGUGCACCCC
rnacentral:lncRNA from 1 species